GUUGGGGAGGGUGGGUGGCAGUCAGAUUGACCUUUCUGCUUCUGUAGUUUUCUCAUAUUCUUUCAGUAUAAAAUAUUCAGUACACCAAGGUGAUAUUUUUGGGGUAACAUUUCUCACACUCCAUCAUCCCCAGGUAAGUUCUGGGCACCAACUAAUAUCUCAACGAUGGAAGUUUGCUAAAGGCUUAAAGCCAAUAGCCACACUGUUACUUGAAGGUAAGUGGACUUGUCUUUGAUCCUGAAUGACAUGACCUUCCCUGUUAAAGCACCUGAUCCUUUUCUGGACAAUGUCUGGCCGGUGCGUACGUUGGUGUCCAGUGCUCUCUUCCCCUGGGUUGAGGUGCUUGCCUCUGCUCUUUCUUCUUGCCCUCCCUCAUUUGUUUCCUUACCCCUGGAAACAGUAUUGCUGCUUCCCAUCUGAGUCUGCUUAUGCAAUCAAGACUCGGCAUAGACCAUGGUGUAUUCUUUUCUCUCCCUAUCUUUCCCUUCUGUUCAUCUAUUUCUUUCUAAGCAAUUCAAAUGACAACCUCUUCCUACAAUGGCAGCCUGUCUGGUAGAUACUGUUGUAAAACAAUACAGAUCUUUUUCUUCUUUACUCAGAAAAACUAAUGUCUUUUGUGGUCAAAAGAAAAUGAGUAGCAGCUAAAAGUAGAAUUUUAAUGACAAAACAACCUAAUUGUUAUUCAGCUUUAACUUUCAAUCCUACCUCCUGUUCCACAAAUUCGUAUUAAUUCAUCAGCUAAAUAAUGUGGCUUCUACUAAAGAUUCUGACAUCUAAUUCUCUGCCUGUGCAGGUUUAUUGCCAGGGUGAAAAAUACUUUGUCUUUAUAUUUUCAUUUUUAAAAACAAGCAUAAUGAAAAUAUAAAAUAUCAUUUAGGAUUUAUCUAAGAAGAUUUGGCAGCUUCUUUGAGAAAUGGUUAGAUAAAGAAAUAUGGAUCAAAUUUAGAAGUCGUCUCUCCUAGCCUUAAGUCAUUAUUUCAAUACGUAUGAACUGAUUAGAUGGGGAGAAGAUCUCUCUAUCUAUAGUUUUAACUAUGAUCCAUGUCCACUUAUUUAUUUUAAAAAGUUUAACAUAAAGAGUAAUUUUUGAGACAACAAAGGAUUAGGAAGUAGCCAUGUAACUGUAAAUUGUGAUGGUUAUUAUCCUUGAAAUAGGUUGGGUUUACAACUCUCAUGCCUGGCUGUCUACCUACUGUAACAAGAGGAUACAAUCCCUUUGAAAGAGGACUAAAAGAGCAAGAGCAAGAGAAAUAGAACACUUGGGUAGUCCCAGUGUCAUAGCUCUCAUUCACUUCUGAUAUGAUAAAUUUUGCUUAAUGUAAUCCAGUCCUGCGUUCACUUGUUAUGUCCAAAUUAUAAAUAUAUUUCUGUGGCUGAGUGAUACAUAAACAAUGCUUAACAUCUUGUCUGGGUUUAGGGAGACUGGAGAAACCCUCCUGGAUCCUUUAAGCUGCUGGUAGUGUAAAAUCCUAUUACUUGUCUGCAUAUAAUAAUUAUAUUAAUCACUGCUCAGUAAGAGAUGUUGGUCUUUUACAUCAAGUUUUCCCUUUGGAAUCUUAGCCUUUAAAACACACACACACACACACCCCUCAGAAUUUUCCUUCCCUUUCUUUCCCCCACAGUUCCCCUCCCCAUACCAAAAAAAAAAAAAAAAAAAAAAAGAAGAAAGAAAGAAAAGAAAAAAGAAAAAAAAGCACAGGAGACAUGACUCCUGGGUCUCUCUCACUUAACCAUCAACUUCCAAACAGGAUGUAAGUACCAUGGUGAAUAUCUCUCUAGACUAAUUAGUUUUGUUGGCUCCUUUCAAAUGGUUGUCUUUAUGUUCAUGUAUCAUUCUUAUUGGGCAGGAGCCCAGCAGGAAAUAUUUGGCCCACUCAAAAUUCUGAAGAGAAUUUAAUAAAGGGUCUAUUUACAGAGGUAUGGGCAAGGUUAAGGAAACCAACAAAGGAUGCUGAGGUCCCCGGGGCCUAGCCACAGCAGGAAGCUGAAGGAUCAAGAGAAGCAAACGAUAUUUUUUUAAAAAGCAGUAGGGUCUUUUCAACAGAUGAUGUUGGGACUACUGGAUAUCCACAUGCAGAAGAAUGAAAUUGCACCCUUAUCUCACACCAUAUAUAAAAAUCAACUCAAAAUGGAUUAAAACUUGGCCAGGCAUGGUGGCUCAUGCCUGUAAUCCCAGCACUUUGCAGGGCCAGGGCAGCUGGAUCACCUGAGGUCAGGCGUUCGGGCCCAGCCUGGCCAACAUGGUGAAACCCCAUCUCUACUAAAAAUACAAAAAUUAUCUGGGUGCAGUGGCACAUGCCCAUAGUCCCAGCUACUCAGGAGGCUGAGGCAGGAGAAUCGCUUGAACCUGGGAGGUGGAGGUUGCAGUGAACCCAGAUCACACCACUGCACUCCAGCCCGGGUGACAGAGCAAGACUCCAUCUCAAAGAAAAAAAGCGAUUAAAAACUUAAACAUAAGACUUCAAACUGUAAAACUACCAGAAGAAAGCAUAGGAAAAAAAUGAUUCUUAAUGUUGGUCUUGAUGUAAGCCAAAAAUAAAACUCUAAGCUUUCCCCCUGACCCCCAACUGACUGAAUGGACUACUCUCUCAGCCAAGGACAUUCCAAAGUAAACCUGAAAAACUAGUUCAGGCCAUGAUGGGAAGAGGGGGUCAGACAUUAUACCCUCCUCCCUUUGGAAUACAAACACAACUGACCAGCAUUAACAUUAAAACAGUGAUCUUAAGACUGACAAAACAGACUCUUGUCAGUAGCAAUAAGAUACUGAAUUCCAACCUGACUCUAGUAUAGCAUCACAUGACAGAUAGCAGGCCCUGAAAGAAAUCAAAGUGUUUUACCCCCAAAUAUAUUUCUUUGACAUAUUUUGAAAUGGCGCUGCAAACUGUUUCUUGCAGGGAAAAUUUACAUUCUGUAGAGAAUCCCCUUCCAUUUCCAGGUCAUUUCCUGAUCCAGGAGAGAACUAACUAAGAGUUUGGCACCAUUUUAGGUCUGAUAAGAGACAUUUACCAUCUAUUCUCUCUGAAGCCUGCUACCUGGAGGCUUCAUCUACAUAAUAAAAACUAUGGUCCCCACAACCCCUUAUCUUAACCCAGACACUCCUUUCUAUUUAUUGAUUCUAGGUCUUUAGAUAAUUACUUAACUCUUUCAACCAAUUGCCAAUCAGAAAAUCUCUGAAUCCACUUAUGACCUUGAAGCCUGCACUUUGAGUUGUUCCAACUCUUCAGACCGAAGCAAUGCGCAUCUUACAUGUAUUGAUUGAUGUCUGAUUGAAGCUUCUGUCCCCCUAAAAUGUAUAAAAUCAAGCUGUAACCAACCACCUUGGGUACGUGUUCUCAGACCCUCCUGGGGAAUGUGUCUUGGGCCUUGGUCACUUAUAUUUGGCUCAGAAUAAACCUUUUUAAAUAUUUUACAGUUUGACUUUUUGUUGAUGUCAGUCUUGGCAACAAUUUUUUGGAUAUGACAAAAAGCAUAGGCAACAAAAGCAAGGAUAAACAAGUGGCAUUGCAUCAAAAUGAGAAGCUUCUGCACAACAAAGGAAACAAUCAACAGAGUGAAUGAGAGAAAAUGUUUGCAAACCACAUAUCUAAUAAGGUGAUAACAUCCAAAAUAUAUAAGGAACUCAUAUAACUCAAUAGCAAAGAACACAAAUAACCUACUUAAAAAAUAAGCAAAGGACCUGGGUAGAUAUUUUUUUCAAAGAGGACAUACAAAUGGCCAUAGGUAUAUGAAAAGAUGCUCAACAUCACUAAUUAUCAAGGGAAACAGGUGUUGGUGAGUGAUAAGGUUCGGCUCCGUUUCCCCACCAAAAUCUCAUGUUGAAUUGUGAUCCACAGUGUUGAAGGUGGAGCCUAGUGAGAAGUGAUUUGAUCAUGGGGGUGGUUUCUAAUGAUUUGGCACCAUCUCCCUAGUGCUGCCUCAUGAUAG
rnacentral:lncRNA from 10 species